AAAAAAAAAAAAAAGGAAGAGAGAUGAAGAAGAAAUUUUUGGUUGAGCUUUGAUAUUAAGAGUAGAAUAUAGAGGCAAUGAUGCCUGAACUUUCACGUUGACUAUAUUGUGAAUACUUUUAUGUCUACCUAAACUCUUUCAUUCCAUGAAGUUUUAUUACUGCAUGUCUUAUCUUUAUUUUGUAGGGCCGAUUUGAAAUACUUUCUU
rnacentral:misc_RNA from 1 species